AGAGUUUGAUCAUGGCUCAGGAUGAACGCUGGCGGCGUGCCUAAUACAUGCAAGUCGAGCGGUAAGGCGUCUUCGGACGUACACGAGCGGCGGACGGCAGAGUAACGCGUAGGAAUCUACCCCGAAGUGAGGGAUAAGCACCAGAAAUGGUGUCUAAUACCGCAUGUUGUCUUCGGACUAAAGCUUUAUGUGCUUUGGGA
rnacentral:rRNA from 1 species